CCUACGGGAGGCAGCAGUGAGGAAUAUUGGUCAAUGGCCGGAAGGCUGAACCAGCCAUGCCGCGUGAAGGGCAGGGACCUAUGGGCGUUAAACUUCUUUUGUGCGGGAGCAAUAAUGGUCACGUGUGGCCAGACGAGAGUACCGUACGAAUAAGCAUCGGCUAACUCCGUGCCAGCAGCCGCGGUAAUACGGGGGAUGCAAGCGUUAUCCGGAUUUAUUGGGGUUAAAGGGUGCGUAGGCUGUGAGGUAAGUCAGCGGUGAAAUGCCCCCGCUCAACGGGGUGAAGUGCCAUUGAUACUGCCUUGCUGGAAUGCGGAUGCCGUGGGAGGAAUGUGUGGUGUAGCGGUGAAAUGCAUAGAUAUCACACAGAACACCGAUUGCGAAGGCAUCUCACGAAUCCGCGAUUGACGCUGAUGCACGAAAGCGUGGGUAUCAAACAGGAUUAGAUACCCGGGUAGUC
rnacentral:rRNA from 1 species